rnacentral:rRNA from 1 species
GACGAACGCUGGCGGCGUGCCUAAUACAUGCAAGUAGAACGCUGAAGGAGGAGCUUGCUUCUCUGGAUGAGUUGCGAACGGGUGAGUAACGCGUAGGUAACCUGCCUGGUAGCGGGGGAUAACUAUUGGAAACGAUAGCUAAUACCGCAUAAUAGCAGUUGUUGCAUGACAACUGUUUGAAAGGUGCAAUUGCACCACUACCAGAUGGACCUGCGUUGUAUUAGCUAGUUGGUGGGGUAACGGCUCACCAAGGCGACGAUACAUAGCCGACCUGAGAGGGUGAUCGGCCACACUGGGACUGAGACACGGCCCAGACUCCUACGGGAGGCAGCAGUAGGGAAUCUUCGGCAAUCGACGGAAGUCUGACCGAGCAACGCCGCGUGAGUGAAGAAGGUUUUCGGAUCGUAAAGCUCUGUUGUAAGAGAAGAACGAGUGUGAGAGUGGAAAGUUCACACUGUGACGGUAUCUUACCAGAAAGGGACGGCUAACUACGUG